UGAGUAUUUUUGGCGCGCGUUACGCCGCCGCUCGACGCGCCGAGUCGCGCGAUGCUCGCGGCACCAUGACCACGCGUGGCAUAAGGCGGAAGAAGUCCUCCCUAAGUGAGGUCAAAGUGGCCGUGGUUGGUGCGCCGUCAGUCGGCAAAAGUGCCUUGACGGUACGAUUUCUUACUAGGCGGUAUAUAGGCGAAUAUGAUCAUCAACAAGACAGCAAAUACAAGCACGAAGUAUUAUUAGAUGGCGAACCUAUUUUAUUUGAAAUUUUAGAUACUUGUCCUAAGAGCAUAGAAGAACUACCGGGGAACGAAGUAGCGCAAUGGGCCGACUGUCUCUUCCUGGUGUACUCCAUUACGGACCGCGAGUCCUUCAACUACGUGCGGCGCGCCAAGCAGCGCCUGCAGCCCGACAUCCCUCUUACCCUCGUGGGCAACAAGGCUGACAUGGUGCACCUCAGACAGGUUAGUCCAGAAGAAGGCGAAAUCCUGGCUAAGGACUUUGAGUGCAGCUUCGCCGAAGUAGCUGCCGCAGAGCAGGUCAACCAAGUGGGGGAAGUUUUCCACGAGCUCUGCCGCGAAGUCCUGACGCUGAGGAGACGAGCCAAGCACAGCCUUCUGGACAGGAUGCUGGGAUCCAAGACUGCAUAUCGCGUUUACUCUCGAGGGAAAAGUGACAGCGCCCUUCCCAAAGAUUAAAUCAAGUUGGCACAACUUUGUUCUCCGUCGUCUGCCUAUGCUCUAAGCAUUGUGUCAUUUUAGUGCUAUGUUCCAGUAAUACGGAGGUAAUAAAUCCUACACGGCGAAUGCUAUAGUGAGUCGCCAGCUGUAUGUACUAAUUUUAAAGAAUCUUAUAUCGCUUAAUAUUCUCAUUUACUGUUUUCAAUAUAAUAGGAUUACAAUUACCUAUAUGUAUACUCGUACCUUUAAGUUAAUUAACACUAGGUACAAUAAACUUGUCGUCGUGUGUAUUGUACAACAACAAUACUAUCCCUUCCAAUCCCUUAUACCUACGAAUA